GUAAAAGCAAACAGACUUAUCUAUAAGAAUGAAGGGAUGAGCUGACAUCAAAAUACGCUUUCAAUUCAUGAUAAUGAAUCCAUUUCACACCCUUCCAUUCCUGAUGAAAAAAUGACAGAAGACAAAAGUGUUUUAAUCUCAAAGUAGUAACAUGGCAAUAAAGAACUACUUUUUAGAGGCUCUAGUCUAUAUCUUAAUUGCCUCACUCUAUUCCCUCGUAAAACUCAGUUUUUUCAUCACCGCAAGAGUUAUUGGCACACUUGUGACUGCUCUGGAGGAUAAAUUGAAACAGGACGUAGUUCAUCCUGGUUAUAGCUUUCUAUAUCUUAUCUUAUCAAAAGUACAUAAUAGGCACACCUCAUUGCAGACUGUUAUGUAAAAGUCCUCACCAUUUUCCAUUCCUGUUAAACAAUGAAUUAAAAAUAUAUCGUUAAUCCAUAAUUCACAAAA
rnacentral:lncRNA from 1 species